CAUUGUUGCGGUUAGUGUUAAUGGCAGCUAUUCCUGAGAUACAUUUGACAUCGUUUAAAAUGUAUUCUUAUUGAAUAAUACAAGAAUUACAAACUAAACUUUUUUGGAAAACAUAUUUGGAAACAGUGCACUGGAAUAAGUCACUACAUAUGUUGCAGUGUAUCGUAUUAUUCAUCUCCUUUGGACUUGUGCACCGUUCUGCCUUGUGACCAGUGUUGGACAAAAGUUAUUUAAAAUAAGGAAUAAAGGACGACGGAUAAAUACAAUCUGAUUAUUGCUUGCGAAUAACAAGUAAACGAUAUAUUCACCAAUCACAGGUAGUAAAUAAAUAAAUAAAUAAAGAAAACUUGUCAAAGAAUCUUAGAAAAUUACAAUAUCAGAAUUAUCCAGAUU